GACUUGUCUAUCUCAGCCCUGCAGGUUUAAAAUAGCAAUUCUGAGGCCAUACAACAGCUUGGGCUUAUAUGGGCUCAUGGGAGGGGGAGAAGAGUUGAACAAGGGGCUGUGACCCACGCUGCCGAAAUAGCAAGCAAGUGUUCGCAUUCCAAACCCUGCCACACUCGCAUUCCUCCAAUCAGGCGUCUGGCCUGGGGGUGGGCUUCGGAGCCCUGUUAAAGCCUCACUCUUCCCAGCUGCAUUUCUCAGACACUGCCAGCUUCCACUUGGCUGCGAGGGACCGCACCUUUUCCCUGGGCGAGAGGACUUCCUGCCAGGACACAAGUGGCCAUUUUGCUUUGGCUGCCAUGGCCCUGCUGAGUCUUAAUGCAGCUGAGUCAUUCAAAGCUGCCCCAGACCCAGCGUCACUGGCCACAGAAGGAAGGAUUCUCCCUGUGUAA
rnacentral:lncRNA from 1 species